GUAUGUUCAUGUUCAUAUUCUUUAUUGAGUCAGUCAUUGAAUGGGGAGGUGGUUCUUUGGUAUAUAAGGGGAGAUUCAUUUCGUAUCUUAGAGUCCAUAAGUUAAUCCAAAAGGGCAUUUGUAUCGAUUGGUCCAAAUUAAAGGUUCUAACUUAGAAGGAUCUUCCCUGGAGCCCGUUCCCAUGGUCAAUAAAUUUCUCGAUGUUUUUCUCGGUGAUCCUUCUUUUAUUCCUCAGGAUAGGG
rnacentral:lncRNA from 1 species